UGUGGUUACAAGAACGCUGACACAACAUCCUCUGGGCAAAGUUUGUUGUGCCAUGUUCACUCUCCCCAAAGCUCCCUCUGGCUUCCGACUCACUCCCUCUGCUUAGUUCCUCCUCUUGGAGCACUAGAUGUGUCUGCAUCCACCAUCAAGCUACCCUUUGGCUUGUAUGUGUCUGCUGGUCCUCAACUGAGGUCCCACCUUUGUUCCUGGAAUUCAUCACAGGGCCUGCGACUGACCUUUAGACACCAAGUCUGCAGAAAACCUGUGACUAUCCAGGUGUUUCAGACGGAGCAGCAAGCUUUCAUUCUCAGCUCCAGCUUGCUCCUGGGAUCGUCUUACCUAGAGGAUGGCCCUCUGGAUUGGAGACUAGUAAAACGGCUCAAACCUAAUGUCCUUGACUGAUGGGAAACUCACAUGUCCUUGCCAGCUGAUAAAGGCUACACUGCUGUGGCUUCUUCUUACACGUCUACUGAUGUGGACUAAUUCAGCAAGCUCCUCAUCUGCUCAAUCUUCAGGAACUCAGACAGGAAUCUGCACGAAUCUGCAGGACUUGGGCCAGAAGAAAAAUCUAAGUGACCCACAUUGUGUUGCACGGAGAAUCACCCAUCUCCUGUGUCUAAGGCCUUGUCCUGGACAAGAAUGGGCUGAAUUUACCCUCUUUCAUCAGUGAUGGACUCUCCUCUGUGGAGCUCUUCAUACACAUAAAAUGCACGCUGCCCUGCUCCACAGCUCACCAACGCAAGCCUUUUUCCCAGCUGUGGACACAACUGAAGCUUAAAGUCGAGGCUCCAACGAAUCUAGUAUUCCCACAGGAAUCCACAGCAAAUGGGGAUGGAAGCACUUGCGUGGUUACUGGUAAGCCUGGAUCUGAAUGUGAGCUUGAACUCAAGACCAAAGUGGGGUUUCCGCACUAAUUUGGACAUACGAAUCUAGUCAGAGAUAUGACAACUGGGAACCUAACCCUUCUUCCGCAUUAUACAUUCUUCUACAUUCUUCCACAUUAUAAGGACAUAAAAAAGAACCCCUUUCACGUGAUGGUAGACAGCUCUGGGGGAAAAAAUAUGUAUUUUUAUAUAAAUGCACAUUUGUAAAUGUUAUUUUAUAUCCUGACAUAUUCAACGCUUAUAGUUAAUCGCUCUUGUUCAUAGUUAGCUGACUAAAUAUGUGGCCUGUUGAUGACACUCAACAGCAGAGAGGCGCUAGACAGAAGUGAGAAGAAGCUAUGCGGGGCUCAAAAUUACCAUCUUAGCACGUAAACACUGAAGUGUUUGUGGAAGUGGUCUAACUACUUGAAUUCUCAUCACUCUUGUGUUUUGUCCAGUGUGCCUUACUCCACUGCCUUCCUUCCUGUGAGAUAAUAGCGAGUAGACACAUUCACGCACUGCAUAAUGAUGUUUGGUCAAUGACAGACAGCAUAUAUGAAGGUGGUCCUGUAAGAUGGCCUGUAAUAUGGCCUAUGUGUGUAGUAGGCUAUACCAUCUAGGUUUGUGUAAGUGCACUCUAUCACGUUCGCACAAUGACAAAAUCACCUGACGACAAAUUUCUCAGAAUGUAUCCCCAUUGUUAAGCUAUGCAUGACUCAUAUGUUGGUCUUUGAUCCCAUCUCUCAUAUGGGGCUUCAAAAACUCUUGUAAAUUCCCAAGUGAUAAGAAUGGUAGGAGCAUCUUAUGUUCUAAUGAAG